rnacentral:ncRNA from 1 species
AACAGGGCGCACGAGUACGUUGACGUAGACCCGAAACCAAGUGACCUACCCAUGUCCAGGUUGAAAGUGCGGUAAAACGCACCGGAGGACCGAACCCAUGUAUGUUGAAAAAUGCUGGGAUGAGGUGUGGGUAGCGGUGAAAUUCCAAACGAACUUGGAGAUAGCUGGUUCUCUCCGAAAUAGCUUUAGGGCUAGCCUCGGAAGUUAAGGAUCGUGGAGGUAGAGCACUGUUUGGACUAGGGGCCCGUCUUGGGUUACUGAAUUCAGAUAAACUCCGAAUGCCACUGAUCUUGUUCCGGGAGUCAGACUGCGAGUGAUAAGAUCCGUAGUCGAAAGGGAAACAGCCCAGACCACCAAUUAAGGUCCCUAAAUAUGUGUUAAGUGGAAAAGGAUGUGGGAUCGCACAGACAACUAGGAUGUUGGCUCAGAAGCAGCCAUCAUUCAAAGAGUGCGUAAUAGCUCACUAGUCGAGUGAUCCUGCGCCGAAAAUGUAACGGGGCUAAACACAUUACCGAAAUUGUGGAU